GACGAACGCUGGCGGCGUGCCUAAUACAUGCAAGUUGGGCGCUGAAGGUUGGUACUUGUACCAACUGGAUGAGCAGCGAACGGGUGAGUAACGCGUGGGGAAUCUGCCUUUGAGCGGGGGACAACAUUUGGAAACGAAUGCUAAUACCGCAUAAAAACUUUAAACACAAGUUUUAAGUUUGAAAGAUGCAAUUGCAUCACUCAAAGAUGAUCCCGCGUUGUAUUAGCUAGUUGGUGGGGUAAAGGCUCACCAAGGCGAUGAUACAUAGCCGACCUGAGAGGGUGAUCGGCCACAUUGGGACUGAGACACGGCCCAAACUCCUACGGGAGGCAGCAGUAGGGAAUCUUCGGCAAUGGACGAAAGUCUGACCGAGCAACGCCGCGUGAGUGAAGAAGGUUUUCGGAUCGUAAAACUCUGUUGGUAGAGAAGAACGUUGGUGGGAGUGGAAAGCUCAUCAAGUGACGGUAACUACCCAGAAAGGGACGGCUAACUACGUG
rnacentral:rRNA from 1 species